rnacentral:rRNA from 1 species
GACGAACGCUGGCGGCGUGCCUAAUACAUGCAAGUAGAACGCUGAAGGAGGAGCUUGCUUCUCUGGAUGAGUUGCGAACGGGUGAGUAACGCGUAGGUAACCUGCCUGGUAGCGGGGGAUAACUAUUGGAAACGAUAGCUAAUACCGCAUAAGAGUAGAUGUUGCAUGACAUUUGCUUAAAAGGUGCAAUUGCAUCACUACCAGAUGGACCUGCGUUGUAUUAGCUAGUUGGUGAGGUAACGGCUCACCAAGGCAACGAUACAUAGCCGACCUGAGAGGGUGAUCGGCCACACUGGGACUGAGACACGGCCCAGACUCCUACGGGAGGCAGCAGUAGGGAAUCUUCGGCAAUGGACGGAAGUCUGACCGAGCAACGCCGCGUGAGUGAAGAAGGUUUUUCGGAUCGUAAAAGCUCUGUUGUAAAGAGAAAGAAACG